GCAGCUAUGGCCGAGCGAUUAAGGCGACAGACUAGAAAUCUGUUGGGGGUAACCCCGCGUAGGUUUGAAUCCUGCUGGCUGCG